CGAAGGCUCACUCUCUAAUGGAGCGCCUGAAUCAACUGAGGAUCUCAUCGUUGAAGUCAAGAGACAGUGUUGUCUUCAGGGCAGUUUCAGACUUCAGUUUAUGGAUUCCUUGUUUGGGAAUGAGUUUCUUAACCUUACCUCAGUUUCAGAAGUAGCAGACAAAGGGACUCUUAAAGCUAUUGACAUGUCAAAGCCCACCACAUGGACAUAAAAAAGAGUAACAGAGAUGGUGAAACUGAAGAUGGAAAAGACUUUUUCAUACAGAAGACAUGAAGUUGUUCGUGAUGCACCAAUGGUGGAGGCUUUCAUGGCAAGAUGGCCUGCUCUAUUUGACUUCCAUGAGAUCAACGCUGAGUUUAAGAGAAUUGCCACCAUCCCCCCCUCAAACAAAGUUCCUGGCUCAGCUGGAUCUCCACUUGGGCAACCUGGUGAAGUUGGUCAACAGAAGAGGAGGGCUUGGACUAAUAUCGAAAAGAAUUGCGGCACAAAUGGAUAAUUGUGAAGAUGUUGAUGCUGGACGUGAGUGUGUCAAGGGAGUGUGUAUCUACAUGGGUGAAGACCCUGACAUGCUUAUCCGGGAGUAUGUGGGCAUGGAAGAAUGUGCCAUCAAUGAGACUGUUGAAGACACCACUGUUCGAAUUUAUCUUCUUAAAGAGCAAGCUUCAGCAGAAGAACAAGAGUUGUUCUUGCAGGCAUCAGGGUGGUGAAGAAUUUGGAUAAUAUAGCAUUUGCUGUGAUAAUGCUAUUUGGACUCAUGUAUGCAUUAAACCUUGCCUACCCUGCUGACCUCCGCUACAACUUGGACAUUUUCCAGAAGGUUUUCAUGGAACUGGAUGGAGCUAAACUCUCUAAAGGUCUUGCUUUCAAAAACCAUCUGUUUCAUUGAGAAGUCAAAGACAGCACUUCUGCAAUUCUUUGCAGUUUUUCAUUUUGUGUUCAGUAACGUUAUACUGCUUAUGUUUUUAUUGCUUUCCCCUCAUGUGACUGCAAUGCAGGAAGAUUUUUCCUUUUGGUAUCAUGUUGUAAGAAAUUUUUACUGACGAUUUUUAGCAAUAUGUUCUGAGUCAACCUUAAUGUCCUGCUUAUAUGUUUAAA
ensembl:lncRNA